UCCCGUUUAACACGGGCAGUCUCUCUAGAGUGCUCAACUGAAUGGUAGCAACUAGAGACAGGGGUUGCGCUCGUUAUAGGACUUAACCUGACACCUCACGGCACGAGCUGACGACAACCAUGCAGCACCUUGUAAAUUGUCCGAAGAAAAGUCUGUUUCCAAACCUGUCAAUCUACAUUUAAGCCUUGGUAAGGUUCCUCGCGUAUCAUCGAAUUAAACCACAUGCUCCACCGCUUGUGCGGGCCCCCGUCAAUUCCUUUGAGUUUCAGGCUUGCGCCCGUACUCCCCAGGUGGAGGACUUAGCGCGUUAGCUACGACACUGAAAGCCUAAAGCCUCCAACGUCUAGUCCUCAUCGUUUAUGGCGUGGACUAC
rnacentral:misc_RNA from 1 species